GUCAGGAUGGCCGAGCGGUCUAAGGCGCCAGACUCAAGGUUGUACAUGGGCUACCUUGCCUUCUGUCAGAAGGUACGAGUGUUCUGGUCCACGAAUGUGGGCGUGGGUUCGAAUCCCACUUCUGACA
rfam:Lingula anatina scaffold325, whole genome shotgun sequence.